rnacentral:lncRNA from 1 species
GCGAUGGGCAACUCACACGAGCAAAUUUGUGCAAGUUUAAGAGGCUUUUUGGGAAAUUUCAAAGGCUUUAUUAUGCACCACAUUGAAGAGUAUUGAGAAGGGUAAAGAAGCAUGAAAAGAAGAAGAAUACCAAGGAAAAAGUGGAGAGGCUUUAGGAAAAUCAAGAUUAAGCCCUUGCAAUCUUCAAGAAUCUGUUCAAGGGACGGAUUCCACCUAUUGUCUUGUAUUUCAUCAUUUAUUUUCCCUAUUUUGUAAUGUAUUUCUCUAACUUUUCCAUUUUGUGCCACUUUUAUACAAUGAGUUAAGCUUUUUAAUGUUAGGGUAAUAGAGGUAGCUUAACCUCGUGUGAUUAAUUUCAAUAUUUGUUAUUUAAUGUUAAAAUGCUUAUGUUCUUGUGUAUUUACUGUUGUAUUUAAUGUUUCUCAUUUAUGUGCCAAUAAAUGAUUGUGUUGAGU